UGCGUAGGCGGAAUAAUAAGUCAGUGGUGAAAUCCUGCGGCUCAACCGUAGAACUGCCAUUGAUACUGUUAUUCUUGAAUUUAGUUGAGGUAGGCGGAAUGUGUAAUGUAGCGGUGAAAUGCUUAGAUAUUACACAGAACACCGAUUGCGAAGGCAGCUUGCUAAACUAAUACUGACGCUGAUGCACGAAAGCGUGGGGAGCGAACAGGAUUAGAUACCCUGGUAGUCC
rnacentral:rRNA from 1 species